rnacentral:rRNA from 1 species
GUCGCGUGUGUGAAGAAGGCCUUAGGGUUGUAAAACACUUUCAAUAAAGAAAGAAGAAAUAAUUAAAUAAAAUUUUUUUAUUUUUGACGGUAUUUAUAAAAGAAGCACCGGCUAACUUCGUGCCAGCAGCCGCGGUAAUACGAGGGGUGCUAGCGUUAAUCAAAUUUACUGGGCGUAAAGGGUGUGUAGGUAGCUAAUUUAAAUUAAUUAUAAAAGCUAUUAAGAUAAACUUAAUAGAGUAAUUAAUAAUAAAUUUCUUGAGUAUAAAAGAAGUAAAUAGAAUUCUAAAAGUAGCAGUGAAAUGCUUAGAUAUUUAGAGGAAUACUAAUGGCGAAGGCAUUUUACUAUUUUAUACUGACACUAAUACACGAAAGCAUGGGGAGCAAACAGGAUUAGAUACCCUGGUAGUCUAUGCAGUAAACGAUGUCGACUAUUUAUUGAAUAACAUAUUAUUAUUAUUUAUAAAAAUUUUUAUGAAUUUAAAAUAAUAUGUAAAUUUAGUGAAAAAGCUAACGCGUUAAGUUGACCGCCUGGGGAUUACGACCGCAAG